GUGCUCACUUCGGCAGCACAUAUACUAAAAUUGGAAUGAUACAGAGAAGAUCAGCAUGGCCCCUGCACAUGGAUAACACACAAAUUCAUGAAGUGUUCCAUAUUUAA
rnacentral:snRNA from 1 species